GAUGAACGCUAGCUACAGGCUUAACACAUGCAAGUCGAGGGGAAACGAUAGAGAAAGCUUGCUUUUUCUAGGCGUCGACCGGCGCACGGGUGAGUAACGCGUAUCCAACCUGCCCAUCACUUGGGGAUAACCUUGCGAAAGUAAGACUAAUACCCAAUGACGUCUCUAGAAGACAUCUGAAAGAGAUUAAAGAUUUAUCGGUGAUGGAUGGGGAUGCGUCUGAUUAGCUUGUUGGCGGGGUAACGGCCCACCAAGGCGACGAUCAGUAGCCGGUCUGAGAGGAUGAACGGCCACAUUGGGACUGAGACACGGCCCAGACUCCUACGGGAGGCAGCAGUGGGGAAUCUUCCGCAAUGGACGAAAGUCUGACGGAGCAACGCCGCGUGUGUGAUGACGCCCUUCGGGGUGUAAAACACUGUCAGUAGGGCGAAUUUUGACGGUACCUACAGAGGAAGCACCGGCUAACUCCGUGCCAGCAGCCGCGGU
rnacentral:rRNA from 1 species